rnacentral:rRNA from 1 species
UGACGCAGCAACGCCGCGUGAGUGAUGAAGGCUUUCGGGUCGUAAAGCUCUGUCAAGUGGGAAGAACCCUUGUCGGCGGAUUAUGCAGGGGAGCUGACGGUACCACUGAAGGAAGCACCGGCUAACUACGUGCCAGCAGCCGCGGUAAUACGGAGGGUGCAAGCGUUAUUCGGAAUUACUGGGCGUAAAGGGCGCGCAGGCGGCCUUGUAAGUCAGUUGUGAAAGCCCGGGGCUCAACCUCGGAAGUGCGACUGAAACUGUGUGGCUUGAGUAUGGUAGAGGGAAGUGGAAUUCCUGGUGUAGCGGUGAAAUGCGUAGAUAUCUGGAGGAACACCGGUGGCGAAGGCGACUUCCUGGACCAUAACUGACGCUGAGGCGCGAAGGCGUGGGUAGCAAACAGGAUUAGAUACCCUGGUAGUCCACGCAGUAAACGUUGAUCACUAGGUGUUGCGGGUAUUGAUACUUGCAGUGCCGGAGCUAACGCAUUAAGUGAUCCGCCUGGGGAGUACGGUCGCAAGAUUAAAACUCAAAGG